rnacentral:rRNA from 1 species
UACAGAGGGUGCGAGCGUUAAUCGGAGUUACUGGGCGUAAAGGGCGCGUAGGUUGUUUUGUAAGUUGGUUGUGAAAGCCCUGGGCUUAACCUGGGAACUGCAACCAAGACUGUGAGACUAGAGUACUGUAGAGGGUAGUGGAAUUUCCGGUGUAGCGGUGAAAUGCGUAGAGAUCGGAAGGAACACCAGAGGCGAAGGCGGCUACCUGGACAGAUACUGACACUGAGGCGCGAGAGCGUGGGGAGCAAACAGG